rnacentral:rRNA from 1 species
UUUCAGAGUACGUGAAACCGUUUAGGGGUAAACCUGAGAAACCCGAAAGGUCGAAGGGAGAAAUUCAUUCGCGUUUCGACGCAGGCGUGGGACGGGGUCGAGCGACGGGACGCGUUCUUCGGAACGGGUCUCGCGCCCUCCGUCUUUCGAACCGGCGGCGAACGCGUGCACUUUUCUCCUGGUAGGACGUCGCGAUCCGUCGGGCGUCGGUCUACGACUGGCGGUGGAGCCCGCCCGUUUCGUCUCGUACGUACGGACGCGGACCCGCUCGUUCCGGCCGACUCGCUCGACGGUAUAACUAAGGUCGGAGGCCGCUCGUUUUUGUUUUAGGAGCGUUCGACUCGUCGCAAGCGCGCCACGUGCGUCGGCACGCGGACCCAGUGCCGCGUCCGACCUCUGGUGACUGUUGGCGACGAAGUUCUCGGACAGACCUCUCGUUUUUGUUCAAAGACCGAUCGGCGACGCUAUAGCUUUGGGUACUUUCAGGACCCGUCUUGAAACACGGACCAAGGAGUCUAGCAUGUACGCGAGUCAUUGGGAAUCGUUAAACCUAAAGGCGUAAUGAAAGUGAAGUGGUCUGCCUUUGCGUAGACCGAGGGGGAAGACGGACGGUUGGGUCAAAAACCGCCCUCGAAAGUUGUGUGGGACCGUCCCGCAUUCCCGGGGCGUCUCGUUCACAUCGCGUGAAGAGGCGCACCACGAGCGUACACGCUGGGACCCGAAAGAUGGUGAACUAUGCCUGGUCAGGACGAAGUCAGGGGAAACCCUGAUGGAGGUCCGUAGCGAUUCU